GAUGAAGAACGCAGCGAAAUGCGAUAAGUAAUGUGAAUUGCAGAAUUCAGUGAAUCAUCGAAUCUUUGAACGCACAUUGCGCCCGCCAGUAUUCUGGCGGGCAUGCCUGUUCGAGCGUCAUUUCAACCCUCAAGACCCCUUCGGGGGACUUGGUGUUGGGGACCGGCACAGGGGCCUGCCUGCUUGUCUCGCAGCGCCCUCGCCGCCCCCGAAAUGAAUUGGCGGCCUCGUCGCGGCCUCCCCUGCGUAGUAGCACAACCUCGCAACGGGAACGUGACGGCGGCCACUGCCGUAAAACAACCCCAAUUUUAUUAGAGUUGACCUCGAAUCAGGUAGGAAUACCCGCUGAACUUAAGCAUAUCAAUAAGCGGAGGA
rnacentral:misc_RNA from 1 species